CAGCAGCCACGGUAAUACAGAGGGUGCGAGCGUUAAUCGGAUUUACUGGGCGUAAAGCGUGCGUAGGCGGCUUCUUAAGUCGGAUGUGAAAUCCCUGAGCUUAACUUAGGAAUUGCAUUCGAUACUGGGAAGCUAGAGUAUGGGAGAGGAUGGUAGAAUUCCAGGUGUAGCGGUGAAAUGCGUAGAGAUCUGGAGGAAUACCGAUGGCGAAGGCAGCCAUCUGGCCUAAUACUGACGCUGAGGUACGAAAGCAUGGGGAGCAAACAGGAUUAGAUACCCGUGUAGUCCCUGUCUCUUAUAC
rnacentral:rRNA from 1 species